AUUGAACGCUGGCGGCAUGCUUUACACAUGCAAGUCGAACGGUAACAGGGUGCUUGCACCGCUGACGAGUGGCGAACGGGUGAGUAAUGCGUCGGAACGUGCCGAGUAGUGGGGGAUAACGCAUCGAAAGGUGUGCUAAUACCGCAUACGUACUGAGGUAGAAAGUGGGGGACCUUCGGGCCUCACGCUAUUCGAGCGGCCGACGUCUGAUUAGCUAGUUGGUGAGGUAAAGGCUCACCAAGGCGACGAUCAGUAGCGGGUCUGAGAGGAUGGUCCGCCACACUGGGACUGAGACACGGCCCAGACUCCUACGGGAGGCAGCAGUGGGGAAUUUUGGACAAUGGGCGCAAGCCUGAUCCAGCCAUGCCGCGUGUCUGAAGAAGGCCUUCGGGUUGUAAAGGACUUUUGUCCGGGAGCAAAUACCCAGUGCUAAUAACGCUGGGGGCUGAGAGUACCGGAAGAAUAAGCACCGGCCAACUACGUGCCAGCCGCCGCGGUAAUAC
rnacentral:rRNA from 1 species